rnacentral:rRNA from 1 species
UACGAAGGGGGCUAGCGUUGCUCGGAAUCACUGGGCGUAAAGGGCGCGUAGGCGGCCAUUCAAGUCAGAGGUGAAAGCCCAAGGCUCAACCUUGGAACUGCCUUUGAUACUGUUUGGCUUGAGACCGGUAGAGGUAAGUGGAACUGCGAGUGUAGAGGUGAAAUUCGUAGAUAUUCGCAAGAACACCAGUGGCGAAGGCGGCUUACUGGACCGGUUCUGACGCUGAGGCGCGAAAGCGUUGGGAGCAAACAGG